rnacentral:rRNA from 1 species
UACGAAGGGGGCUAGCGUUGUUCGGAAUUACUGGGCGUAAAGCGCACGUAGGCGGAUAUUUAAGUCAGGGGUGAAAUCCCGCAGCUCAACUGCGGAACUGCCUUUGAUACUGGGUAUCUAGAGUAUGGAAGAGGUGAGUGGAAUUCCGAGUGUAGAGGUGAAAUUCGUAGAUAUCGGGAGGAACACCAGUGGCGAAGGCGGCGACCUGGACAGAUAUUGACGCUGAGGUGCGAAAGCGUGGGGAGCAAACAGG